rnacentral:rRNA from 1 species
GAUGAACGCUGGCGGCGUGCUUAACACAUGCAAGUCGAACGGUGAACACGGAGCUUGCUCUGUGGGAUCAGUGGCGAACGGGUGAGUAACACGUGAGCAACCUGCCCCUGACUCUGGGAUAAGCGCUGGAAACGGCGUCUAACACUGGAGAUGUGACGUGACCGCAUGGUCUGCGUGUGGAAAGAUUCGUCGGUUGGGGAUGGGCUCGCGGCCUAUCAGCUUGUUGGUGAGGUAAGGGCCCACCAAGUGUUCGAGGGGUAGCCGGCCUGAGAGGGUGACCGGCCACACUGGGACUGAGCCACGGCCCAGACUCCUACGGGAGGCAGCAGUGGGGAAUAUUGCACAAUGGGCGCAAGCCUGAUGCAGCAACGCCGCGUGAGGGAUGACGGCCUUCGGGUUGUAAACCUCUUUUAGCAGGGAAGAAGCGAAAGUGACGGUACCUGCAGAAAAAGCGCCGGCUAACUACGUG